GUGCUCGCUUCGGCAGUACAUGUACUAAAACUGGAACAAUACAGAGAACAUCAUUAGCACGGCCCCUUCACAAGGAUGACACACAAAUUUAUGCAGCAUUCCAUAAUUUC
ensembl:snRNA U6 U6 spliceosomal RNA